AUGGCCAGACAGCGGCGGGCCGGCGUGCUGAGCGCCAGCGAGCACGACCGGGAGUACUGCGAGCUGUGCGGGAAGAUGGAGAACCUGCUGCGCUGUGGCCGCUGCCGAGGCUCCUUCUACUGCUGCAAGGAGCAACAGCGCCAGGACUGGAAGAAGCACAAGCUGGUGUGCCAGGGCGGCAAGGCCCCGGCGCGCAACCGGGCCAGCGCAGCCCCGCGUCGCGCCCCUGCCCGGUGGGGCCCCGGAGCAGGCGCGCCGCCCGGCGGCCCGGCGAGGGACAACAGCACGGGGCCUCGCGCGUACCGGGCACGGAGGACGCGGCGCAGGCCGGGAGCGGCCCGGCCCGCAGAGCCCAGCUUGGAGGAUCCUCCGCCUAGCAGGUCUCUGGGCCCCGAGCGCGCCAGCCUGUGCCCAGCGGGCGGCGGCCCGGGGAAGGCGCUGAGUCCCAGCAGAGGGCUGCGGCCCAACGGGCAGACCAAGCCGCUGCCCGCGCUGAAGCUGGCGCUGGAGUACAUCGUGCCGUGCAUGGACAAGCACGGCAUCUGCGUGGUGGACGACUUCCUGGGCAGAAGACCGGGCAGCAAAUCGGCGACGAGGUGUGCGCCCUGCACGACACCGGCAAGUUCACGGACGGGCAGCUGGUCAGCCAGAAGAGUGACUCUUCCAAGGACAUCGGGGGGGACGACAAGAUCACCUGGAUCGAGGGCAAAGAGCCAGGCUGCGAGACCAUCGGCCUGCUCAUGAGCAGCAUGGACGACCUGAUCCGCCACUGCAGCGGGAAGCUGGGCAACUACAGGAUUACAGGAUAAACGGCCGAAUGAAAGCCAUGGUCGCCUGUUACCCAGGCAACGGGACAGGCUACGUCCGUCACGUCGAUAACCCAAAUGGAGACGGAAGAUGCGUGACAUGUAUAUAUUAUCUAAAUAAAGACUGGGACGCCAAGGUGAGCGGAGGUAUUCUUCGAAUUUUCCCAGAAGGCAAAGCCCAGUUUGCUGACAUUGAACCCAAGUUUGAUAGAUUGCUGUUUUUCUGGUCUGACCGGCGUAACCCUCAUGAAGUACAGCCUGCAUAUGCCACAAGGUACGCAAUAACCGUUUGGUAUUUCGAUGCAGAUGAGCGAGCAAGAGCUAAAGUAAAAUAUCUCACAGGUGAGAAAGGUGUGAGGGUUGAACUCAAGCCCAAUUCAGUCAGCAAAGAUGUCUAGCAGGGCCUUGGGUCCAGCAGUACCCUUGUCACCUGUAGUUGCCUUCUGUGGACCCGUGGACAUGUGGCCAGGAUGAACAGAGACACCUGCCUGGCAUUUCAAGUAUCUGGGAGCCAGGCGACUUCGCCAGGUGUCAUCCAACAGAGGGCUCCAUCUGCCGGGACUGUACUGUGGGGUCAGCUCCAGAUCUGUGACUGCUCUUGGCCGCUGACUGAAGAGGAGACGCUGUCAGAGGAGAGUAGCUUUUCCAUCUGGACACAAAACAAGGGCUCUUUGUAGGAUUUUCUUCAGUCUUCUAUUUUGCCAGACCUGUCACCUAACUGAGUUCAUUUUAUCUCUUUUUUAUAUCAAGUUUGAAUUCGGGGAAUUUUUGUAUUAGGUACAAUUUAUCAAAACUGAAUUAGAAAAAAAUUUACAGUAUUAUUCUCAAAAUAACAUCAAUCUAUUUUUGUAAACCUCUUCAUGCUAUUAAAUUUUGCCCUAAAGGCCUCCUA